rnacentral:rRNA from 1 species
AGCAGCCGCGGUAAUUCCAGCUCCAAUAGCGUAUAUUAAAGUUGUUGCAGUUAAAAAGCUCGUAGUUGAAUUUCGGGGUUAGUAGUUUGGUCGUGCCAAUGGUAUGUACUGGGCUCACUGAUUCCUCCUUCCUGAUGAACUGUAAUGCCAUUAAUUUGGUGUUGCAGGGAAACAGGACUGUUACUUUGAAAAAUUAGAGUGUUUAAAGCAAGCUAACGCUUGAAUACAUUAGCAUGGAAUAAUGAAAUAGGACGUUCGAACCUAUUUUGUUGGUUUCUAGGAUUGACGUAACGAUUAAUAGGGAUAGUUGGGGGCAUUAGUAUUCAAUUGUCAGAGGUGAAAUUCUUGGAUUUAUUGAAGACUAACUACUGCGAAAGCAUUUGCCAAGGAUGUUUUCAUUAAUCAAGAACGAAAGUUAGGGGAUCGAAGACGAUCAGAUACCGUCGUAGUCUUAACCAUAAACUAUGCCGACUAGGGAUCGGAUGAUGUUAAUUUUUAAUGACUCAUUCGGCGCCUUACG